rnacentral:ncRNA from 1 species
UACAUUUGCAGCAUAUUCGGUUUCUUAUUCUUUUUUUAUCAUCAGAAUAUAGAAUUAAAAGGGAAUUUGGUGUAAAUCCAAAACUGUUCCCGCAACUGUAAAACUCAAGCAAUAUUUUAUUAGUAAAAACCACUGUAGUUAUAACUAUGGGAAGGUAAAUAAAAUAGAGUUAAGUCAGGAGACCUGCCGUUUUAAACAUUAAUUUA